UACGUAGGCAGCAAGCGUUGUUCGGAAUUACUGGGCGUAAAGAGUGUGUAGGCGGUGCUCCAAGUCUGGUGUGAAAUCUCCCGGCUUAACUGGGAGGGUGCAUUAGAAACUGGAAUGCUAGAGGAUGGGAGAGGUAAGCGGAAUUCCUGGUGUAGCGGUGAAAUGCGUAGGUAUCAGGAGGAACACCUGUGGUGUAGACAGCUUACUGGACCAUUUCUGACGCUGAGACACGAAAGCGUGGGUAGCAAACAGG
rnacentral:rRNA from 1 species